GCUGUAACAUGUGGGAGAUGAAGCAUGCUGGAGAUCUGCAUAUACUGUGGAUGCAUGUGGAUGGCUCACCCUGACCAAGCUGAUAGCCUGCAAGGGUGCUCAAGUGUAAACUGGAGCAUUCUGGCAGCUAAGGUCCUGGGUAUAGGCUCAGGCUGGUAACAGAGCAGGCAAGACUGGGCACUAUCAGCAGUGGUGGGACAAUG
rnacentral:SRP_RNA from 9 species